CAACUACUCCCUAUGUCCCAAAUUUCUUGUCUUAGAUUUGUCUAGAUACGGAUGUAUCGAUGUAUCUAAUACUAAAAUGUGACUUGAUACAUCCGUAUCUAGACAAAUCUAAGACAAGAAUUUUGGGACGGAGGGAGUACUUU
rfam:Triticum aestivum genome assembly, contig: Triticum_aestivum_CS42_TGACv1_scaffold_320472_4BL